AAUCUCCACAGGCUGGCAGGCCCCCAGGCUGCCUGGGAGAGUACCUCUUCAAAAGGGUCACCCGUAAGGAUGACUAGGAGG
rnacentral:pre_miRNA from 1 species